rnacentral:ncRNA from 1 species
CCGCCACAACGGCUUCCUGACGUGGCGGCUUUUCAUAUCAAUGGAGCA